UCAUUUAUCCAUGUUCCAAAUUACUCAGAUGGGUUCGAGUAGUAUCUUUUGCACCGAAGGAUGGUUGAUCUUUUUUAACCAUCUCAAUCAUUGGAUCAUAUUUGGCAUGAUUUUCAUUGCAUGAUUAACCACUUUCUUUCAUUCAUGAUAUAGAUCAUAAAAUCGAUAUCAUGCAUGUUUUAAAAGUUAUGCAAAACACGAUCUAACUAUUGAGCUGGCGAAAAAAAAUCAAUUAUUUUAUUAUAUGAAAGAUACAAUUGAACCCUCC
rnacentral:lncRNA from 1 species